UAGGAGGGUUUAUUAUGAAUUCUGUGUC
rnacentral:piRNA from 1 species